rnacentral:rRNA from 1 species
AGAGUUUGAUCCUGGCUCAGGAUGAACGCUGGCGGCGUGCCUAACACAUGCAAGUCGAACGGAAAUUACAGAAGGAAGUUUUCGGAUGGAAUUUUGUAAUUUUAGUGGCGGACGGGUGAGUAACACGUGGGUAACCUGCCCUGUACCGGGGGAUAACAGUUGGAAACGGCUGUUAAUACCGCAUAAGCGCACAGCUUCGCAUGAAGCAGUGUGAAAAACUCCGGUGGUACAGGAUGGACCCGCGUCUGAUUAGCUUGUUGGCGGGGUAACGGCCCACCAAGGCGACGAUCAGUAGCCGGCCUGAGAGGGUGAACGGCCACAUUGGGACUGACACACGGCCCAGACUCCU